rnacentral:rRNA from 1 species
CAGGCCUAACACAUGCAAGUCGAGGGGUAUAGUUCUUCGGAGCUAGAGACCGGCGCACGGGUGCGUAACGCGUAUGCAAUCUACCUUUUACAGAGGGAUAGCCCAGAGAAAUUUGGAUUAAUACCUCAUAGUAUUAUGAAAUGGCAUCAUUUUAUAAUUAAAGUCACAACGGUAAAAGAUGAGCAUGCGUCCCAUUAGCUAGUUGGUAAGGUAACGGCUUACCAAGGCGACGAUGGGUAGGGGUCCUGAGAGGGAGAUCCCCCACACUGGUACUGAGACACGGACCAGACUCCUACGGGAGGCAGCAGUGAGGAAUAUUGGUCAAUGGAGGCAACUCUGAACCAGCCAUGCCGCGUGCAGGAUGACGGUCCUAUGGAUUGUAAACUGCUUUUGUACAGGAAGAACCCUUGCUCGUGAGCAAGAUUGACGGUACUGUAAGAAUAAGGAUCGGCUAACUCCGUGCCAGCAGCCGCGGUAAUACGGAGGAUCCAAGCGUUAUCCGGAAUCAUUGGGUUUAAAGGGUCCGUAGGCGGCCUAGCAAGUCAGUGGUGAAAUCUCCCCGCUCAACGGGGAAACGGCCAUUGAUACUACUAGGCUUGAAUUAUUAGGAAGUAACUAGAAUAUGUAGUGUAGCGGUGAAAUGCUUAGAUAUUACAUGGAAUACCAAUUGCGAAGGCAGGUUACUACUAAUGGAUUGACGCUGAUGGACGAAAGCGUGGGGAGCGAACAGGAUUAGAUACCCUGGUAGUCCACGCCGUAAACGAUGGAUACUAGCUGUUGGGAGCAAUCUCAGUGGCUAAGCGAAAGUGAUAAGUAUCCCACCUGGGGAGUACGAACGCAAGUUUGAAACUCAA